AUCGUUCAAUUUAGGUUUUAACUUAAAUCGGAAGUAGAUCUUUGAUCGAAGGAACGCAUG
rnacentral:ncRNA from 10 species